GUAGUUCAGUUGGCUAGAACGCCAGGCUGGGGGUCUGGAAGUCGCCGGUUCGAGUCCGGCC
rnacentral:tRNA from 1 species